CACGUAGGGUGCGAGCGUUGUCCGGAAUUAUUGGGCGUAAAGAGCGCGCAGGCGGUCGUGCAAGUCGCGUGUGAAAGCCCCCGGCUCAACUGGGGAGGGUCACGCGAUACUGCUCGACUCGAAGGCAGGAGAGGGAAGUGGAAUUCCCGGUGUAGUGGUGAAAUGCGUAGAUAUCGGGAGGAACACCAGUGGCGAAGGCGACUUCCUGGCCUGUUCUUGACGCUGAGGCGCGAAAGCUAGGGGAGCAAACGGG
rnacentral:rRNA from 1 species